AUCUCCGGGAUCUUAAUUCAGGAGGUGGAAUGCAGCUUGAGAUCAAGUGUCUGAUCAAAGAACUUGAACUUGAUCUGGAGGGCUCUGGGGAGCCAUGGAAAGUGCUGGAUAAAGGAGGGACAGUCAGCCACGUUUUAGAGAUGACCGUAGAAGGCUUCCUGGAAGGAGUGAACAAGAGCCAAGAGACCAGGGAGGGAGCUUGUGGGGCAGGUCUGGAGAUGGCAAGGGAGGGAUCCUGCUUGGAUGAAAAGUCUUCAGGGACCAUGUCAGGUUACACUCAGGUGCCCUCAGUGUGUUCGGAAGUCUUGUCUCCAGGAUGAAAAUGGGAAGGAGUUGUCAGAUAAGGACAUAUAAAUGGAGGCUGGCAUCCUCAUGAGUGUCAAUGGUGGUCUCGGUGUGGGGCUACUGUGAGAACAGGGGUAUCUCCAUUCAGGGACACAGUGGAUGGACCCUAUAUCACUCCAUUCUGCCCUUCCUUUCCCUCUUCUCAUUCUCCGGAGGGCCUCGGUGCAUGGGCGCUGUCCAUCCUUUGGUGCUGAAGCAGCGAAGCGAUCCAAACCUGCCUGGCCGCCUCUUAGGAUAUGACUGCACAGCCAUUGGCCUCUACUAGAUCCUGUACAACUUCACAAGACACCCAGACACUGCGAGUGCUGCCAGCACGUGCUGCAAGAGUCCUGAGGGACCACAAUCCUGAAAACAUUGAAUGACUGGAUGAGCAGUGAGCCAGAGAAGACAUGAAGCCACUGAGACCCCAGGCUUUUUCUAUUUCCACAGCCAGUAUGAACUACUCUCACUACGACAACACCGGGGAUAGAUGCUUCCACCAGGAACAGAAAUGGUUCCAGGGGGCUAGAGAUUGUGACAGUCGCCGGCCACUGUGCCAUUCUCAGCACUUCGGGGCCGACAGAACAAAGGAGCUAAUAGGGGUCCCAGUGGCCGUGAGGGAUCGAAGUUGCUGCUACCCGAUGGAAGAGAGGAAGGUCUCUGGUGCCCAGAUUCCCCAUGGGGGAGUUGCUAGCCUGCUGCAUCCAGGAUAAAAGCGAAGAAAGGAUCACACAAACCGCAGGCAGGAGGGACCCCCCAAAGGGAGCAAUCGCUGAGGAAUGGAGAGUCCAGCAGCUGCGGUGCUCGCUGGAGGCCCAGGAGCAGCAUGGGGCACUGGCUUCAACCAGGGUUGAUGUCUUGAGUGAAAUGAGAGCGUAUUUUGGCACCGUGAUAGUGUGUCGGCGUGCGAGCAUAGAAAGAAGGAGUGCAUGACCCAGCAGUCACAGAAAUGAAACCUGAAGGCCUGAGCAUGGGCUUCUUCAUGGUCCUUCUGUGACAUUCUCUAUGCAGGGCCUAGAAAGCUGCAGCCGCUCCCAGGCUCCCUGUAAGCUGGGGCUCCCAGCGUGGUGCAGCAUCACCCUGAGGGUUCUGUCUUGCAGCCUGGUGUCCUCUCCCAAUGGGGCUUCUGAUUGUGGCUGAGGUCGCAUGACACUGGCGUCUGGCGUUGCUCCUGAAAUCCUGACUUAAAGCCACACGUGCCUUUCUGCUUAGAGGAGCCAGCCUUGCUCCCGCAUUUAGCAUCUGAGCCAGUGUGUUUUAUUAUAAGCAUUAGAGACAUGACUUCUAAACUUACAGGUGAAUGUGUACCUUUUUAUAACUACAUAACUUUAAAAUUUAUUUUUGAUAACAAUUUAGUUGUUUUUCUUUUUUUUAAGGUGCAUGAGUACAUGAGCAUCUCAUUUCACAAUGACCUUUGCCCAAAGUAGUCUUGGUUGGACAUUUACAAUCUAAAUACAGUUUCAUAGAUAUUUACAUCAACUUGAGUUAUAAAUUGAGAGAAAUACACUACACAAAAAUUAAAGCUGAUUUCAAAUCUUUAAAAUCAAGAUAUGGAAACUCCCAAAUAUAUACUAGAAUGCAUUUGAAAUGCUUUAUUUAGAGUUUAUUAGUCACUAAAUCUAAAAGAUGACAGAAAGUACUCACAUUUAAUAAGCAAAAAAUAUUGAACUGAAUCAACAAGUAAGAUGGGACAUUAGAACCUAAAUGUUUUCAUUUAAUUUUGGUGAAUAUUAAGUAUACUAUAUCCAUGUUUAGAUACUUUUAAGUCAUGUUUUCCAAGUUCUGAGAAAACUAUAAAACAGCAGACAACAUUUCCUGUGUAUCUGCUUUGGCACAGAAGAGUUCAUAAUUUUUUUUCAUUUUAAAUUGAACGAGAAAUGAUAUAUUUCAGUGAAAAUCCCAGCUCAAGGGGGCUCUUCUGAGAACUGCGGAAAACAGCUCUGGGCUUUUCCCUCCAGGCGCCCGCCCACCUUACCUCUCCCCGCACAACAACUGGAUCCAAAUGGUGUGCACACCACAGUCCCAGGAUUCCCUGGCUUGUUUGUAAAUCUAUUGGCUGAGGUAGCUUUUCUGUUUGUUCAUUUGUUUAUAAAUAUAUCAAAAACUGGUCCCACAAACAGAAAAACAAGACUCCAACUGACUUCUACAUUACCGUUGAAUUUCUUUUCUAAAUGCCUUCAUCUGCUGUUCAUUCUUUUUUUACACAGUGAGUCACUUGUUUUCUGAAACCAGGCAUGUUGUUUUUAGUUUUUAUCACUGGAUAUUUGAUUUUUCCAUUUAGUCCUCAGUGGGGUGCGAAAUGUCACUUCGUAGAUUCUACCUAAACACUGUUUGGAACCUGGUGUAUCAAAAUAGAGGUUCCAUUCUGUAAGACGAAACAACAGAUCAUGACAAAGCAUUUUCACAUACAGCUUACUUCCAGUUUUUAUCGCUGUAUAUUCCAUUUUUUCUAGAAGGCCACAAUGGGCUCAGAAAUGUCACUGUAGAUUCUAUAAGAAGAAUGUUUGGAACCUGGUGAAUCAAAACACAGGUUCCAUUCUGUGAUAUAAAACAGCACUGCACAAAGCAUUUUCACACAUAGUUUAUAUCUAGUUUUCAGGGCAGGAUAUUUGAUUGUUCCUUAUAGGCCUCAAAUGGGCCCAGAAAUGUCACUUUGUAGAUUCUAUGAAAAGAGUGUUUGAACCUGUUGAAUCAAAACACAGGUUCCAUUCUGUGAUAUGAAACGGUGAAUCACCACGCAUUUUCAUUUAUAGCUUAUUUGUAGCUUUUAUUGCUGCAUAUUUGUUUUUUGUUUGUUUGUUUUUGAUUUUUGUUUGUUUGGCCUCAAUGAACUCAGAAAUGUCAUUUGUAGAAUCUACAAAAGGAGUGUUUGGAACCUGUUGAAUCAAACACAUGUUACAUUCUAUGAUAUUAAACAGCACCUCACAAAGCGUUUUCACAGA